CAAUUAAUUCUAAUUCUUUCUAAUAUAAUUGCUUUAAUCUUAAAUAUGAGAUAUAUUAAGGCCGUACAAAUGCAUGACAGUAAUUUUUCAUCAACUGAUAAAUAAGUUUUUAACAAAAUUAUAUUCGCACUCAUUUUUUUUUUUGAUAGGAAUUCGAAUGCGGAUAUAUGUCAGAUUUAGAUAUAUAUAUCAGCCCUUAAAUUUUCGUUAUUAUAUCAGUUAAAAAUGGAUUCGAUUUAGAUAUGAAUCGAAUUCGUAUUCCAAAAUUAUUCAGAUAAUAAUUAAUAAUACAUCCUAAUAUGCAUAUAUAAAUAUAAAUUAAAAUUAGAGCUAAUAAGACACACAAUAUUAUAUAUAAUUAAAGGGUUACACCCGUAUUUAAAAUUUUGUAUACCUAUAUGUUAUUCAAUAAAAUUUAAUAUUUUAACAAAUAUAAAUGUGAAUAAUAUUAAUAUGAAAUUUGUAGUAAAAUAAAUGAAGAAUAAGAUAGAAAAAUACUUUAUCUUCCUGCUGUUGGGAAUCCGGUACUCGCCCCGGUACCGGAUCUCGUGAAUCCGCAACCCACUCCGAUACCGACUGCUGUGGAUUCGGUACCGAUUGUUGGGAUUUCUCAACGGAAACGUCAAAUCGGGUUUUUACCAUAAACCCGUCUUCUCAGCAAAAGCUGAUACAAUCAUAAAAGAGAAAAAUAUGCAGGUAAAAUAAGAUUCAUUAAAUAAGAGAAGAUUACACCUGACUCCUCUUCUGCACAUAGUAGCUACAACCCGAGCCCUCUUUCUGAAUCUCUUCUACUCUUCUCUUGUCUUCUAUAAAAUCCACAAAAAAGACCUCUCCACGUGCACCCGUGUACAAAGUGCACUAAAAUAACUCUCUCUCUCUUUUUCUCUCUCUGGUACGACACCCCAAUGAUUCCAGCCGUACUACUUCCAAAAAAGAGAGCCACAAUGCCUAUUUAUAAUGCUCAACUUAAAACGUACUCCAAUCCUAAUAUAUUAGGAUUCAUACUUUAAUUAAUAUCUAAAUCUAUCUUAAUCAAUCUCUAAUAGAUUUAAAUAUUAAUCCUAAUCUAGUUAGGUUUAUCCUCUAAUUAAUAUUUAAAUCUUAAUUUAUCUCAAACAGAUUUAAAUAUUAAUUCUUAUCCAAAUAGGAUUUAACUACAAAUCUAACCAAAUUCUAACACCUGCAAUAUAUAUUAACAUCUCCCUAUCAAAUAUAUUUCUUAGAGAUAAAAACGAUCGAAUAUAAUCGGUUUUUUUAAGAAUUAUAUUCAUAUUCUUUUUUUUUUUAAAAAAAUUUGAAUAAAAUUUGAAUACAAAUAUGUGUGAAAUGAUAAAUUUUAACAUCCAUACUCAUAUCCUAUCGAAUUCGACAUUAGAUUUGAUCACCAUACGAUUUAAAAAGUUUUAUUUUACUCUUUUAUUAUCUUUUUUACUUUACCAUAAAUACCUAUAAUUAAAUAGAACAAUAAAAUAAUAUGUAUUUUACAAAAUUUAGAUAAAUGCAAAUUAUAAACUGAUAAAGUGCUACAUUUGUUAUUCUAUAGUUUAUAAAAUUUUAUUAACCAUAACUAUAUUCAAUAAUUCUUAAAAAGUUUUGGACCUGUUUGAUAUUAUGGCAAAGUAGAGUGUCCAAAUUAGAAAGAAAAUUUUAUACGAGUAGAUAAUUGGAACAGUGAGGUUAAAAUGGACCAGAAAAUUUUUAUAAUUUAAAAUUAAAUAAUUUAGUUUUCUAUUUUUAUUUAUUUAUUUAUUUGGCGCAAAAUCCCACUCCUCGGAUCGCGAUAUUUUAUAGGAAAAACUUCAAAAACCCCCCUGUAGUUUUGCAUUUCUCACUUUCUUACUUUAUGGUUUAAAGUGUAUCACUUUUCUAUGUGAUUUUAUUUUUAUCUCUUCGGCAGUUUUUUUUUUAAUAUUUCAUUAAAUUAUAUAUAAAAAAUUUUGAAUAUUCACUUAGAUUUAUCGAAUAUUUACUUUAAUACUCUUUAUUUUUAACUUUGUCACUGAUUUAAGAAAACAAAUAAUAAAAUUGAUAAUUAAAAGAGAAAAACAAAACGACAUAUGGGGCAAAUUAAUACACUUUAAACUAUAGUACUAAAAUUAGAAAGUAAGAAACUACAGGGGUGUUUUUGAAGUUAUCCCUAUUUUAUAUAACGAACCAAAACCACGUACACAAACGAGUGGCCUCUCUCUCUCUCUCUCUCUCUCUCCACUUUCUCUCUCUAGGAGCUCCGAGCUCACUCCAAUGGCGAUCGCCGUGGCGCGCGUUUGGGCCCCCAAAACCCUAAUCCCCCCCUCCAUCUCCUCGUCGUCGUCGUCGUCCGAUCGGAGGAGCCCUAGGGGGUGUCUCCUCGCCUCCUCCCACCACGUCGCCGGGGAGAAGCUUCUCCACCCCCGCCGCCGCCGCAGCGGCUCCUCCGCCGCCGCCGCGCCCGUCGUCGUCUCCCCCAGGGCCGUCUCCGACUCCCGCAGCUCCCAAACCUGCCUCGAUCCCGACGCGAGUCGGGUGAGUUCGAUCCCGUUCCCCAAAUCUUUAUCUCAGCGUUUUUCCCCCGAAAUUUUGGCGAUUUCUAUGUGAUCUUCAUGCGCGUGGUGGGGUUUUCCUGCAAAGGGUUCAAUGUCGGGGUUAAAUAUUCGAUCGUUGUGGAUUUUGUUAUCUAGAGAUGAUGAAUUAAUGGGGUAUUUGGGGAGAUUGAUCUCAGUGAUCACUAGAUAUUAUCAUUAUUAUUAUUAAUCAUAAUUUUUUUUUGAUUGCCAUGAUUAAUGCUGGAGAUUGUUCAAGGUAAAGAUCCUGUCCUGGUUCUUUUUAAUCAUGCUAUGAGUAGGGUUUGAUGUGGGGUUUAAUUUGCUAUUUAUGAAAUAAUAAUUUAAUCAAAAGAGUUGGGUCACUGCAUCUUUGUGAUCCUGUAAUAUUAUUAUUUUUUAUUUGAAUUACCUCAUGCGCAUUUUUGUAAAGGAAAUGAUAGAAUGUCCUAAAAAGAUGAUAAAUAAACAAAUAAAUUAAACCCAAUUUGUGAUAUAAUAAAGUACAUAUUUUUCGGUACCAUAAGCUACUAGUACUAGAUUUGAUUCUGUAUAAAUUAAUUCAUGCAAAAUCCCUGUUUUGGCUAGUUACUGUAUCAUCUAUGCAUUGCUUUUCUCUCUCUAUAUAUAUUGCUUCUCUUAUCAGAGUGAUCAUUAAUGUAGAUAGAUAUAUUUCAAUUUUGUAUCUAACUUCGAUUUUAGCUAAUUGUUAUUUUUCUCAUUGUAGAGUGUUUUAGGCAUCAUUCUCGGGGGCGGAGCGGGUACUCGGCUGUACCCGCUAACGAAGAAGAGGGCGAAACCGGCGGUUCCUCUCGGAGCCAACUAUAGAUUGAUAGACAUUCCUGUGAGCAAUUGCUUGAACAGCAAUAUUUCGAAGAUUUACGUUCUGACCCAAUUCAACUCGGCGUCCCUCAACCGCCACCUCUCGCGGGCUUAUGGGAGCAACAUGGGCGGAUACAAGAACGAAGGGUUUGUCGAAGUUCUUGCUGCGCAGCAGAGUCCGGAAAAUCCCAACUGGUUUCAGGUAUUACGCCAUAAAUGAGAAAUUCUUGUGCCAAAUCAAACUCAGCGGAUUAGAUUACAAGUGAGAAAUGCCAUGUUUUUUUAACUCUAAAUUAAGCUUAGUGGGCAAAGUUGCAACUUGCAAUCACGAAAAGAUUACCGGCUAUUCCACGAUUUUUACCCUUUUUUAUAUCCUGGAGUAUUUGAAAUUCCAAUAAUGAUACUCAUUGUGACAACUGAUAUUUGAUAAACACAUUUUAUCGAAUUGUUGAUUCUCAAUAACUGUAGUGUUAAUUCCUUUGGAAUUUGCGAGAUUAGUGGUUAAUUUGUUGUUGUUUUCAGGGUACUGCUGAUGCUGUGAGACAAUAUCUGUGGCUCUUCGAGGAGCACAAUAUCAUGGAAUUCCUGGUUCUCGCUGGAGAUCACUUGUACCGUAUGGACUACGAGAAGUUCAUUCAAGCACAUAGAGAAACAAACGCAGAUAUUACUGUGGCUGCGUUGCCAAUGGAUGAAAAACGCGCGACUGCUUUUGGCCUGAUGAAGAUUGACGAAGAAGGACGCAUCAUCGAAUUCGCGGAGAAGCCGAAAGGAGAGCAGCUGAAGGCGAUGAAGGCACAGAAUUCUACUGCUUUUCAUUGAGCUCUGACGAAUUCAUUGAUAAGCGAUGGAUCCUGAUGCUUUCAUUUGUGUUGUUGCUUUGAAAUAAUCUCGCAGGUUGAUACCACCAUACUAGGACUUGAUGACGAGAGGGCGAAAGAGAUGCCCUUCAUUGCCAGCAUGGGUAUUUACGUGUUCAGCAAAGAUGUCAUGCUGCAGUUACUCCGUGAAAAGUUUCCUGGAUCCAAUGACUUUGGAAGUGAGGUUAUUCCCGGUGCAACAAGCAUCGGAAUGAGGGUACGUAUGUAUUUCUAUCGCUUCUCUCAACAUUUGUGUACUUUUGUGGGUCUUCUAACAUACCGAACAUGAAAAUACGUUAUCAGGUGCAAGCUUACUUGUACGAUGGUUACUGGGAAGACAUUGGAACGAUCGAGGCAUUCUACAAUGCUAAUCUAGGGAUAACUAAAAAGCCAAUUCCCGACUUCAGGUAUCUUGUUAGAAUGCCAUGUGCAUUUUCUUGUAAAACGUCAUUCUACGCAAGCAAGUUUGCUUCUCUGACAUAGAUUUUAAUUUCUAUCCGCAGCUUCUAUGAUCGCUCAGCUCCGAUCUACACGCAGCCGCGAUACUUACCGCCUUCGAAAAUGCUCGAUGCCGAUGUCACCGACAGUGUUAUCGGCGAGGGAUGCGUUAUCAAAGUACGUCGGCAUCCGAUACUGCUUUCCUUGUAGUUCUCCUCUAUAAAUUCUACAUGGUCAAUGAGUUUUCGAUUCAUGUAUCUUCGAAUCCUUUCGUCGGCAACAUUGUUGUUGCCUACUCUUUUCCUUAUUUUUUAUUUUCCGUUACUCUCUCGGUGCAGAAUUGCAAGAUUCACCACUCGGUCGUCGGGCUCCGAUCCUGUAUCUCCGAAGGCGCAAUAAUCGAAGACUCGUUGCUCAUGGGAGCUGACUACUACGAGGUAAUUGUACAGUUUCGAAACAAAUAAAAAACCAUCACUCUAAACAGUAUCGAAAGAAUAAACGAUAAAUAAAGUUUUGUGUGCUUAUCCACCUAUUUUCGUUGCCAGACGGAUGCUGAUAAGAGGUUCCUCUCUGCAAAAGGUAGCGUGCCGAUAGGCAUUGGAAAGAACUCUCACAUCAAGCGAGCUAUUAUCGAUAAGAAUGCCCGCAUCGGAGAGAAUGUCAAGGUAAUCUCCGCUUCUGAUACUGUUCCAAUCUGCUAUUUUAAACAUCUGUAGUUCUCUUAAGCAGAGAAAUUCGUCUUCUUUCUUUUUGUUUUAUAUUCUUUUGCUCAAUUUUCGACUAAAAACUUCAAUUAAUGAAGGGUACAAAUGGACUGAGAUCUCCUCAACUACGGGCCAUUCCGAAGAAUACGAUCUUCAACUAAUUUUCCUUUUCUGCAGUUCUAUUAGCGAAAAAGUGUAAAGAAUAGUUACAUUUAAUAAAUUCACCGUUAAUUUACCAAAAUUCGCAAUUUAGUCGAUGAAAAAAGACGAAUUGAAAGAAACUCAAAAUGGCCUACAAUUGAUGGGAUCCCUAUACAUUGUUACCGUAACGAGAUUACAUAUAUGGUUAUAACCGAGCUACAAGUGGCGUCAUGAGUACAUCAAAAAGGCGUCGAUAAUGUCUCGUGUUGUCCUCCUAAUUCUCGGUCGCGGUUUCAACUUCUUUCAGAUCAUCAACGGCGACAGCGUGCAAGAAGCGGCGAGGGAGACGGACGGCUACUUCAUCAAAAGCGGCAUCGUGACGGUGAUCAAGGACGCCCUCAUCCCCAGCGGAACCGUCAUAUAAAGAUGCUCGGCUCGGCUUCGAUAUCGCGUAUGCACUUCUCUCCUAGUGUCAUCUCUGGCUUUACCGUCUCAUCUUUCCUACUUGCGUAAAUUGUUAUGAGUAUUCUAGUGUUAUAUUCUAGUGUUAUGGUACGUCGGUAGAACGAAGAACAUAUUAAUGGCUUUAUUUUUUUAUUUUUUGUAUAAAGGAAGCUUUUUUUUUUCGCCGCGGAACUAGAAAAUAAAUGCCUGUUUAUCUUGGCAUAUCGAAAUUUAGAAUAAAAAAACAAAACUCUGUGAUAUUAUGAUAGGCAAUUUAAAUGACCAUGAUGAUGUAUCCUGGGAUAAAUCUCUUGCAAAUUCUAUUAUCAUGUGAAGUUUCUAAUAAAUGUUUCUGUGUGGAAGAUGAAAAUGUUACUUCUCAUUUAAGUGAAUUUUUUCUUUUUUUUUUAGUUGGAAAAUUUUGUACAUUUCUUUUUGAUUUGCUGUUACAUUUAAUGAUAAUUUUAGGACCCAAAAUAUAGUGGUAUAAAAUGACAUGUAGCCACAAAUUUUUCGUGGGGUUUUUUUUAAAAUUUUUUGUUGUUUUUAUAACAAAUAUGUUAGUUGAUUCUGUUUGGUUCAUUCAAUUUGGAUUGAAUAUUUUUUUUUAAUUUUAAUCAAUAGGUAAUUAGUGGUUAAAUAAACUCCGCAAAUUAUUUAAUCGUUACUUUAGGCUAGUGUAUUGUAUAUCAAGUUACAAAAAAAAAAAAAAAAAAAAAAAAAAAAAAACAUUAAUUCGGGCUAUUGGGUUUUUUUUUUUUUCAAUUGUCAAUUCGAUCCGAAUUAUUUUUAGAAAAAAAGAAAAGAGAAUCGGAUCCACCAAAAUGAUUCGCUUUGAUUUUGUAAUUUGGUUUGUACGGAAUAGUGCUUAUUUAUUUAUUUAUUCAUUAUUAUUUUUCUGUUGUCAUAUAUUGCACACCACAUAUUCGGUUAAUUCUUUUUUCUUUUUUUUUUUUCCGAUUGAUUUGUGAUUUGGAUAUUUCUAUACCUUUCACGCACCUCCGCUAUUAAAAUUAUUAUUUUUGAGCUCAUUCGACCGCUAGAUAAAUAAUAUUAAAAAAUUAAAAAAAUUAUUUUUUUUAGAUAUUUUAAAUAUUUUAAAUCAAGUCUAACUGAGCAGACCGUCGAUUCGGAAGUCUCAGCAUCGAAAACGAUGCUCUUUCGAUCACCAGAUAAAUAAUAUUAAAAAAAUUAAAAAAUUAUUUUUGAGAUAUUUUAAAUAUUUUAGAUCACGUCUAACUGAGCAGACCGUUGAUUCGAAAGUCUCAGCAUUGAAAACGAUUUGAUAACAUGAAUACUAACAUGCUUCUAAAAGCACACAAGACGAACUCAUAUAAUAAUAUAAUUUACAAAAUAGCAUAUCGUUAGUUGGAAUUUGGGUAUUAUACUAUUAAUAGUACCGAGUCAUUAGUGCUAUUAAAUUUUCGGCCUUUGGAUAAAGUGAUGUGUGGUUAGGAUGAUACUGAUUUUCUAGGAUUGGUUGAAUAAUAUGAUUUAACAUGUAGAAAUGGUCAAAGGUGUAGAUCUAACGGUGAAAAAUUUGAUAGCUCCAAACGCUUGGUGCUGAUGCUGGUGCUGGUGCUACUGAUAGUAUAAAGCUGGAUUGUCGACAAAGUGAAAAUACGUUAAACCACAAAAAGAGGUUAAAUUGUUGAUUUUGCCGAAAGAUUAAAAAAAAAAAAACAAGCUAAAUUAAUUUAAAUUUUUUGCACUUAAAUCCUUUUAUUAGUAUGCAAAAUAAUUUAUUUGUGCACAAUAGUGGGAGGGUUUCCUGCUGGGGUAGGUGGACCUGGUCCACUGCGAAGUUCUCUUCUGUGCAACCCAAAUUCAAAGUACAUUUUUCCACCUGCAAAAAGAAAAAAAAAAAAGAAAAAAAAAUCAAAAUUAAAAAUUUUAAAAUUUGAUCAAUUUGAAAUGCAAGUUUCAAUUUUUGUAUUGCUUGUUUUUAGGUAACUUAAUUUAUUGCCAGAAAUUUCGUACAAUUUAGUGUGCUAUGAAAACAAAAAGAGAGAAUAAUGUGCUCCUUUAUUUUUCACAUCUUUUUUGGGAUAAUAUUUAAUAUGUCCUUCGAAACUUUAAAAACAAAAGAAGUAUUUUGAUUUUUUUUUUUUUUGUUUCAAAUAUACUUCUCGUAUAGUUCUCCAUUAUUCAAAAAUACUCUCGCUGUUAGUACUCAUUAAGUUAUCUCGGGUUAAAUUCAGAUUAAAUUUCUACCUGGGUAAAAAAAAAAAAUCAAAAUACUUCUUUUGCCUAAGGGCAAAUAAGAAAAGCUGGUAAUGAUAUAAGUGUAUAUUUAAAAAGACAAAGAAUUAAAAUACUUUUUUUGCCCUUGUAUUAAGGAGCAAGUAAGAAAAAUAGGUGACGGUAAAAGAAAAUAUUUGAAAGGACAAAAUAGUAAUUUUACAGAGAUAAUGGUUGUCGCUAACAUUUCACUAACAUAAUUUAACUUUAGGAACAUAUUUGAAAUAACUUGGAACAUUAAAAAGAUAAUUUUAAUAUCAGCCUUCUAAAAAAGGUAAAUCAGAAAGUCGAAAAUUUUUUAGCAAUAUAUAUGCAAUUGUCCCUUUUAAUCUAAUUAAGAAAAAGAGAUUGUUUUUCAUAUAACUUCACUGGAAUUUUUUUUAAUGGGACGGUUACUAAGACCGCACUGUCCCAUUGGGUUUUUUAGCGCAAUAGUCUUAUCCUAAAAUUUUAUUAUAAAAAUAGACCUGUUAAAUUUUUAUUUAUAAAUAUGGUACUAUAAAAGCGGUGAAUGGUUCACCGCUUUUAAAAGCGGUGAACCAUUUACCGCUUUCUUUCUUUUUCUCACUUCUUCUAUAUUUCUACGAUGGUAAAAGUGGUGAAUGGUUCACUGCUUUUAUUCUUUUUCUACUCCUAAUGAGGAGUUAUGAAUGCGAUGAAUCAUUUACCGCAUUUAGAGGUUUAUUUUUAUAAUUAUUUUUUUAAAAAAAUUAUUUUUAUGAUUAUAAAAAUCGAUAGAAUUAUUUACAAAAAAAAUUCGUCCCAUCCAUAGUUAAUUAAUUUGGAUUCGGCAAAAAUUCGGUAGAGAUAUAAUAUGCAUAAAAUUUAUUUUCUAAUUUUUAAAUUCGUUGAAAAAUUCGGCUUAAAAAACAGAUUCGGUAUGAAAUAUAAAUAUUCAGAUUUUUAAUAAUUUAGAAAUAAUUCGCGAAUUAUUCGGCUGGCCCAAAAAUUCGCGAAUAAAUUUUUUUAAGAAAAUUUGUAAACAGACCGUUUAAUCCGAAUUUUUAGUAAUUCACGAAUAAUUUGUGAUUUUUUUUUUUAAAAAAAAAACCAAAGAAAACAAAGGACAAAACAAAAUCACAAAGCUUCUUCACAAGCACAGAAGCACUCUAAUAUAAAUAAAUCUAAUAUAUGAAUAAUAAAUAAACAUCAUGAAGAGAAAUUAAAAGUGAAAAAGGAGCAUCCAAUUACCCACCAGAUGAUGAUGAUGAUGAUGAUGAUGAAGAUACUGAAGUGUGCAUUAUUACUCUUGAAUCCACAAAUUCACUGCAAUAACUGCUCCAAGCAAUGAGAAUCAAAAGAAACAAAACUUUGAGAUUGGGAUUGGGAUUCCUCAUCUUCAUCUCUCUCUAUCUCCCUCUCUCUCUCUCUCUCUAUGUAUAUUUUGAUUUGAUGCUUCAUAUUGUAUAGUUUUCAAUGCAUGCAUAUAUAUAUAUAUAUAUUUGGAGAAAACACCCAUUUUGACCAUGUCCAAACCAAAAGAGGAGUGCUAGGUCAACAAUCCACUCUAAAUUAUAAUCUUACAAUCCUUUCUGAAAAAAGUCUUUUUUUUUUUUUUUCUACCUGUCUAAUCAUCUUUUAUUUUACACUAAAAAUUUUAAAAUAUUUUUACAGAUUGUACAAUCUCUUAGUAGAGGGGUUGUAGAGAUUACAAUCCUUUUGGGUUGUAAACCUUGCAUAAUAUUUCUCAGGCUAAAAAAACCUAAAAAACGCUAUCUAUAUAUAUACACUAUCGUAGGGAGUGUAAAUUUUACAUCAUGAGCCGACGGGUUCGCAGAGACCAUUUAGAUUUUUAGUAUUAAAAAGAAUAGGAUAAAAUCUAAUAUGCCAUUCAAAACUUUAAAAGUUAAUAUUUUAUUUCUUUCGGGAAAACCAAAAUAUCCUCGUUGAUUUAACACAUUUCUUCAAAUAUGUCCAUUUUGCUUACGGCUUACUAAUAGAAUAGGGUUUUAGAAGACUAUUUUGGUAAUUUGAGGAUAAAUUUAAAGAUUCCCAAUAGUAGUUAAGAGGUAAAUAAACAAAAGUCUCUUAAAAAAAGAAUAGCUUUUAGUAUUAAAAAAACGACAUUGAUGUGACAACUAAAGAAAUAACAUUUUUUGAAUUUAAACUAGUAAAAAAUACCCUAACUAUUGAAUGAGUGGAGUGUAAGAUAUAACUUUAAUUGGCGUGUACAAUGUACUCCAAUUUUGGAGUGUAUAAUAUACACCCACUCAUUCAAUGGAUGAGAUUAUAUCACUUAUCAUAUGAUGUGACUAAUAAAACAUUCCGGCCUGUUAGAUGGGUGGAAUAUAUGAUAUACACCUCUUUUCAUACGUAUAAAUAGCGUUGCUCGUUUCAAAAGAGUCAAAAUGUAUAGAGGCUUCUUAACUUUUAAUUUCUUUUAUUUGAGUUAUUAUGAUUAGUUAAGUUAAUCGUUUCGUUAAAUUUACUGGUUCUGCUAGCGACCGGGCAUAAAUUUGGUCUAAUUUUAUUCGCCAAAAUAUGAUUAAGAAAGUAGUCAAUUUAAUGAAACCACCAGAGGAUUUGAUGAGAACCUCAAACUCAAUUGGAUUGCCUAGUUUUAUUCGCAAUGAUGUGAUUAAAAUGAUUAAAUUUGAAAAAAAUCACAAAUAAAAGAUGUGAUAAAGAUCUCCAAAUUUGAUCCAAUAAAGAUUAUUAGUUUAGGAGAUCUCUAUAUAAAAAAAAUAAUAAUAAGAGAAAUGAUUCGGUACUUUAUUUUAUAAAAAAUAAAAAGAUUUUAACGGUUGAUCAAUAGAGAUUAAAGAUGUAAUUUUAAUAUUUAACAGGUAAAAAGAUUAUUUCAUUCGAGGUUUACUGAGCCUAUUUACAAAUCACACUUCCAAUAGUUUCAAACACUCCAUUUCAUGAAGAACCUUUUUGGUCAUUUCCAUGACUAUAUGGUCAUGGCCACCCAACAUAAUGAAAGAGACUCACCCUUGGCUUACUUGGAAUUCGUCUUUGGUUCGCAACCCGAGGCAUUUUUCUAUAGGGCUGGCAAGCUAGCUCACUGUUCACGAGCCAACUCAUGCUUGGCUCGAAAAUGAGCUUGAGAUCGAUUGCUCGAUUAAUAAAUAAGUCAAACAUGAGUUAAGGUCUGCUUGCUUGUGUUCGGCUCGUGUAAUGUUAGGAUGAUAGUGGUCCCUUAGAACUUAGUGGAUGGUUGGAAAAAUAGUAUGAUCUAAUGGGUGGGAUUGAUCGAAAGGUAGAUUUAAAGGUGGAAAACUAUAUACGGAUUUAUUUAUUAUUUGAUAUCUGUACUGAGACGUAAUGCUUUUUUAUUUGAAUUACUCUAGUUAUUUAACUUAAAUAUUUUAUCAAAUUUAAUUUGAUAGUAAAAAAUCACUUGGUUUUGGAAAGAAAAAAAAAGUUCAAAGGAUGCCAAUUACCAAAAGUAAAAAAUAAAGGAAAAAAAAAAAGUCCAGGGGGCAAUUUCAGAACUGCCUAUAGUUGUGGGGGUUCUCUAUACUUUUUUACAUUUGAUAUUUUUUUGACUUAAAAGGCUAUUGAUUGGAAACCAUGAAACCAAGAAAUGUGGCUCCAAAUGUCCAAUCAUUAAACAUGUUUUUUUUUUUUUUUUUUUUUUUUUUUUUUUUUUUUUUUUUUUUUUUUUUUUUUUUUUUUUUUUUUUUUUUUUUUUUUUUUUUUUUUUUUUUUUUUU
rnacentral:lncRNA from 1 species